CCUUGUGUUUUGUCUUCCUCGAUUCAUUCUGAGGUCUUGAAGAAAAUAAGGACAAUUAAGGAAAAAAUGCAAAGAACCAACUGACGCUGUUUUUGAGAUACAAAACAAAUUUCAAAACUUGUUAGAGGGCCAUAGUCCUGCGAGCUAUGGUUUUCAAGAUAAGGAUUGAUAAUGUUAGUGGAAAUCAGUGAUUUGUAUAAAGAGCAUGGGUUCUUUUUAGAAUGGCAGAUUUAGAAGUGCAUACUUAACAGGGAUGUUUUUCCUUUACUCAGGAAGCACAGAGGACAACAAAACAGAGCAGCUCCUUUGUUAUGGGGAGGAGAAAAUGAGACAGAGAACAGCAAAGCCCAAUGACGUUUAGAUUCUUGAGGCUUCUUUCUCUUACCUGGUGUCCAAAGCUAGAGGAAUGGAAGAAAUGUCCCAUCUAGUCAUCUCAGGUGACAUCGCUAAUCAAUCAACACACUUUACCACUGUGUCUCGACUUGGGCUGGAGUGAAUCUCCCUGGCACCGAACUCUAGGAGAAACCUGGAGGGAUUAUGGAAGAGCUGCUCCUUGAGUUCUACUGCAUCUAUGGACAAAAGGAUGGGCUGUGGCACCUGAAAGAAAGCAUCCCUCUCUGACAUAUGCAAGAGUAAAGCUGUCUGAGGGCUUUAGCUGCUGCAUUCCUGAAACCCAUCUUUGGAAUGCUGCCAAGCCUAUGGUUUCCAGUAGGAGUAUCAAGGCAGACCCAUGUCUGGGAGACAAAGGAUGCCUGUGAAAAACAAUUUUGGUUUGGGGACUCCUUAAAGUGUUGUUUGAUUAUAUUUUUUAAGAAUUCCACUGCAGUCUAAUAUUCUUUUACUCAUUUUCUUUUGUUUUGUUGCUCAUUCACUUGUGGUUGGGCCUGUACUAUUGUCUCACAGUGCUCUAGACACUGCUGGUUUUCUCCACAUUUUUUCUCAUAG
rnacentral:lncRNA from 1 species